rnacentral:lncRNA from 10 species
UCGUGAAUUCAGUAGAAAUAUUCUCUGUUAUUCCUGGCCGCGUGCAGUGGCUCACGCCUGUAAUACCAGCACUUUGUGAAGCCGAGGCGGGCGGAUCAUGAGGUCAGGAGUUUGAGACCAGCCUGACCAACGUAGUGAAACCCCGUCUCUACUAAAAAUACUAAAAUUAGCCGGGCGUGGUGGCGCGCCCCUGUAAUGCCCGUUGCUCAGGAGGCUGAGGCAGGAAAAUCACUUGAACCCGGGAGGCGGAAGUUGCAGUGAGCUGAGAUCGCACCACGACACUCCAGCCUGGGAGACAGAGCAAAACUUUGUCACAAAAGAAAAAAAAAAAAAUAUUCUGUGUAAUUCCUAUGGUGAGACUGAAAGGGAAGGGAGGCAGCUCUAGAACCCACUCUGGAACGUGCACAAAUAGAACUUCCACUUCCACAGCAAGCCCCCCUGCGAGGGCGAUGUGCUCUGGCCAGCCCCGCACAGCGCCACUGUUGAGGGCGGGAUGAUGGUGCUGCAGGCAUGGAGACAGGUGCUCCCGGGGGAGGGGGUGGGCAGGCUCAUGGCCUUCCCGUGGCGUGACGUUGACACCCUUCUUCAGUAAGUGUUUGCUCAGGUGGUUGUGGAAAUACUUAGGGGGGUGACCUCCAUCAGUGAGUUGGAUGGGAACACACAGUGGGGCAGGACUUGUGUCAUCAUGCUUUGUGGACAGUAGUUUCCGCUUAUCCACAGUUUUGUUUUCUGAGGUUUCAGUUACCUAUGAUCAAUCGAGGUCCGAAAAUAUUCAAUGGAAAAUUCCAUAAAUAAACAGUUAAUAAGUUUUAAAUUGCACACAGUUCUGAGGAGUGUGAUGACAUCUCGCACCAUCCCACUCCCUCCUGCCUGGGAUUGGAAUUCUCCCCAUGUCCACAGCUUCUGUUCAGGUAACCCUUAUUUUACUUCGUAAUGUCCCCAA